rnacentral:rRNA from 1 species
AUUGAACGCUGGCGGCAGGCCUAACACAUGCAAGUCGAGCGGAUGAAAGGGGCUUGCUCCUGGAUUCAGCGGCGGACGGGUGAGUAAUACGCAGGAAUCUACCUAGUAGUGGGGGAUAACGUUUCGAAAGGGACGCUAAUACCGCAUACGUUCUGAGGAAGAAAGCAGGGGAUCGUAAGACCUUGCGCUAUUAGAUGAGCUUGCGUCCGAUUAGCUAGUUGGUGGGGUAAAGGCCUACCAAGGCGACGAUCGGUAACUGGUCUGAGAGGAUGAUCAGUCACACUGGAACUGAGACACGGCCCAGACUCCUACGGGAGGCAGCAGUGGGGAAUUGUUCGCAAUGGGCGCAAGCCUGACGACGCAACGCCGCGUGGAGGAUGAAGGUCUUCGGAUUGUAAACUCCUGUUGAUCGGGACGAAAAGCUUCGACCUAACACGUCGAGGACUGACGGUACCGGUUGAGGAAGCCACGGCUAACUCUGUGCCAGCAGCCGCGGUAA